GCCGCGGUAACUCCAGCUCCAAUAGCGUAUAUUAAAGUUGUUGCGGUUAAAAAGCUCGUAGUUGGAUUUCAGUUUUCGGCCGGGCCCCUUCCCGUUCAAAUACGGGCGGUGAAGGGGCCUUUGGAUCGUCGGUGUCAAAGCCGCGGUCUUUUAACGGUCGGACUAUACCACCGGAGUGGGAUUGGUCGUAUCUGCGCUCUUUCGUUUCGGCGUUGGGGUGCAGUUUACGGUCGCCCGCAUUUUACUGACUGGGGUGCCUUUAACCGGGUGUCCCAGCCAGCCGGUUACGUUUACUUUGAACAAAUUAGAGUGCUCAAAGCAGGUGCAUUUUCGCCUGAAUAUCACAGCAUGGAAUGAUGGAAUAGGACCUCGGUCUUAUUUUGUUGGUUUUUCUAGACCCGAGGUAAUGGUUAAUAGA
rnacentral:rRNA from 1 species